AACGAACGCUGGCGGCGUGCCUAAUACAUGCAAGUCGAGCGAAUGGAUUAAGAGCUUGCUCUUAUGAAGUUAGCGGCGGACGGGUGAGUAACACGUGGGUAACCUGCCCAUAAGACUGGGAUAACUCCGGGAAACCGGGGCUAAUACCGGAUAACAUUUUGAACCGCAUGGUUCGAAAUUGAACGGCGGCUUCGGCCGUCACUUAUGGAUGGACCCGCGUGGCAUUAGCUAGUGGGUGAGGUAACGGCUCACCAAGGCAACGAUGCGUAGCCGACCGGAGAGGGUGAUCGGCCACACUGGGACUGAGAAACGGCCCAGACUCCUACGGGAGGCAGCAGUAGGGAAUCUUCCGCAAUGGACGAAAGUCUGACGGAGCAACGCCGCGUGAGUGAUGAAGGCUUUCGGGUCGUAAAACUCUGUUGUUAGGGAAGAACAAGUGCUAGUUGAAUAAGCUGGCACCUUGACGGUACCUAACCAGAAAGCCACGGCUAACUACGUGCCAGCCGCCGCAGUAA
rnacentral:rRNA from 1 species